AAGAGUAAAAUGCAUGCGGUCCUGUCUCCUACAAAAUUAUUUGCGCUGUACCGCUUUGUGCCUUUGUUCGACCGUUCUAACUCGAUGCAUUGACUCUGCUGUGCCCGAUGGAUCUCGUAAGCACCAGUCCGAGAUGGAAAAGAAUAACAAGCGUUUGUCUGGGCCAUCUUGGAUAUAUACAGAGCACAAUCUUGAAUAGCGGAUAGUUACUUGCUUCAAAAGUCAAUGGAAAAGGUCAGCAAACAAGUUGCAACUUGCAAGUGAAGAUUUUGCUGACCUGAUAAGCCGCAUCCCCAUUGGCCACUAGACACAGAAGUAGCAAAACUGUAGGAUUUGUCUUACUAGGCUUCUUAUAUAAAGCUUCAAGCCUGCAGAGAGCCUAGAGGAACAACAGUUCAUGGCUUCCACCAAGCUUGCUCUUCCUGUAGCUCUCCUGCAGUGUGGAUUCUUGGUGAUUGGAUCCAUAAACAGCAGAGAGGCAUAGAAGGAAGGGAAGUUUUGCACCAUGGAAUGCCUGGCGGGAGAGUAUAUGACGUGCCCGUCGACAGGCUGCGAUAAGCUGGCACCGGCGUGCAACUGCUGCGUCGCCAGUGAGGAACGCUGCACCAUCUACCUCAAAAACGGGGAAGUGAAGAAAUGCACCUGAAGAUUUGUCUCUUCACGAACUCUUGUAUGUUCAGAGAAGAUCCAUCCUGCGUUGAAUAAAAUCUCCCUCGUAUUACAAGAGAUGUACGUUGUGUGGGUGGUUUGUGCAAAACCCUGAGCAAUUACAGUAAUCGUCCAAAAGAAAGAUGAAAUGCAGUAGCUGACUGCAACUUAUGAUUUGACUGGAAGGAUAAAAGUCCCAUUGGCCAUCA